rnacentral:misc_RNA from 1 species
GAUGAAGAACGGAGCGAAAUGCGAUAAGUAAUGUGAAUUGCAGAAUUCAGUGAAUCAUCGAAUCUUUGAACGCACAUUGCGCCCUCUGGUAUUCCGGGGGGCAUGCCUGUUCGAGCGUCAUUACAACCCUCAAGCUUUGCUUGGUAUUGGACAUUGCCAGUUUCUGGCAGGUCUUAAAAUCAGUGGCGGUGCCAUUUGGCUUCAAGCGUAGUAAUUCUUCUCGCUUUGGAGAUCCAAGUGGUUACUUGCCAAUAACCCCCAAUUUUUUCAGGUUGACCUCGGAUCAGGCAGGGAUACCCGCUGAACUUAAGCAUAUCAAUAAGCGGAGGA